UUACAUUCUUUAUUUUUAUCAGGGGAAUAAAAAUCAUAAAAAUACAAAACAUUAGACUUUUGAAGAAAAGUUAAAUUUAAUCGAGCAAAUUCUUUAAAGAAACUAAAAAAGUUAAAAAAAAAUAUUUCCCUUGUGCACGGCUCACAGAAAAGUACCAUUUCAAUUAAUAUGCAACUAAUAUUUCAUUUACAUUUGAAAUUCUUCUUACUUUAAGCGUGCUGAACUAAUGUAAACUUUUGUAAGCUUCAUGUAAACUUUUUUGUAGCAAAAAGGAUAGAUUAACUGCCAAAUCUGUCGAGAGGAUCACACACUUCCGAUGAGACUGUUCCCAUAGCAACCAGAUUUUAGGAGAAAUUUCUGGAUCUCUUCCUGCCUAUAUAAUGACGCGGCGGCAUGUUUGUUGUAAUUUGAAUUUGCGAAUUGUCAAAAUACGAUUUUGCAUUCACUGAAGAGUAAUUCCUAUUUCUGCUUUUGUUCUCUAUUGCUAUACGAUUUACUAUUUCGUUGUGUAUUUAUCGUGAAACCUCUGCUUCGAAAUGGCGUUUUCUUUGCUACCUCUGUUGACCGGCGGCAAUUCAUGGUGGGAUACAUGGGACUACCCCUCCACGCUGCUCGACCAACAUUUUGGAAUGGGUUUGCUGGACUCUGAUUUGCGUCCUCCUCAAUUUUACAGAGGAUAUCUCCUUCGACCCCGAACCCAAAUGAACAUCGAUGCAUCGGGACUGUCUGAAGUGAAAAAUGAAAAAGAUAAAUUUCAAGUGAAGUUGAACGUCAGUCAUUUUAAGCCUGAAGAAAUCAACGUAAAGGCUGUUGACAACUCAAUCGUCAUUCAUGGUAAACACGAGGAGAAAUCUGACGAACAUGGUUUCAUCUCCAGAGAAUUCACUCGUCGGUACAUGCUACCGGAGGGAACCGAACCCGAAACUGUUACAUCAACCCUUACACCCGAUGGUUGUUUAGUCAUCGAAGCUCCAAAGAAAGCAAUCGAGCCUCCACCUUCAAAGGAAAAAGUUAUCCCAAUUGAUGUCCAGAAAUCUGAAGAUAAAUGAACUGUUUCUGAACUGAUCCUCCUAAAUACUGAAGCACUCUGGGGAAAUUUACUUCGUUAUGUAUCAUGAUGGAUGUCAAAUGAUAUGAAGUGGAAUCAAGGGAAACCCUGUUCUACAAAAUCAUAUCAAAAACCUUUGGAUGUUCUGUAUUAAUUUAUCUUUAAUAGACUUGAAGCUAAAACCAAGAAUUAAGAAAAAUAUACCUUUAUUUGGAAGAAUUAUACAGCCAAAAGAAAGUUGAUUGAAAGCAUUCAAAAUAAGGUUCAAGAAUUGUUAUUUUGCAAAAAUGAUGUCAACUGAAAUGAAAACAACGGAGUUCAAGUUAGGUGAAUCGUCAAAAGAUUUGGCAGGUGAAUCGUCAAAAGAUUUGGUAGAAUUGGAAGUCAUAGAAUUGGAUAAGGGAAUUCCAGUAUUUGUAGUAGAUUUAGAAAAUGAUAUGCCAAUCUUGAACAGGGC